rnacentral:rRNA from 1 species
GACGAACGCUGGCGGCGGGCUUAACACAUGCAAGUCGAACGAAGUGGCGAACGGGUUAGUAAUACGUGGGUAACCUGCCCUCCUUUUUGGGAUAAGCCUUGGAAACGGGGUCUAAUACCGAAUAAAGGGGGAUGGGCUCGCGGCCUAUCAGCUUGUUGGUGGGGUGAUGGCCUACCAAGGCGGUGACGGGUAGCCGGCCUGAGAGGGUGAUCGGCCACAUUGGGAGUGAGAUACGGCCCAGACUCCUACGGGAGGAAGCAGUGGGGGAUAUGGCAGAAUGGGGGAAAGCAUGAUGCAGAGAGGCCGAGUGGGGGAUGAAGGCUCAGGAGUUGCAACCCUUUUAGGCCUCGAAUCGGGUAGGUGGAGGAGAAGCGACGGCUACGUACGUGGCAGCCGCCGCGGUAAUUC